rnacentral:rRNA from 1 species
AUUGAACGCUGGCGGCAGGCCUAACACAUGCAAGUCGAGCGGUAGAGAGAAGCUUGCUUCUCUUGAGAGCGGCGGACGGGUGAGUAAUGCCUAGGAAUCUGCCUGGUAGUGGGGGAUAACGUUCGGAAACGGACGCUAAUACCGCAUACGUCCUACGGGAGAAAGCAGGGGACCUUCGGGCCUUGCGCUAUCAGAUGAGCCUAGGUCGGAUUAGCUAGUUGGUGAGGUAAUGGCUCACCAAGGCUACGAUCCGUAACUGGUCUGAGAGGAUGAUCAUUCACACUGGAACUGAGACACGGUCCAGACUCCUACGGGAGGCAGCAGUGGGGAAUAUUGGACAAUGGGCGAAAGCCUGAUCCAGCCAUGCCGCGUGUGUGAAGGAGGUCUUCGGAUUGUAAAGCACUUUAAGUUGGGAGGAGGGGCAUUAACCUAAUACGUUAGUGUUUUGACGUUACCGACAGAAUAAGCACCGGCUAACUCUGUGCCAGCCGCCGCCGUAAAAC